ACAGCGCUGUGUAACUGGCGGCUUUGCGUGGAGCACCACGAGGAAGCACAGCGAAAACAGUCGACCGCCUGGGCAGAACGU
rnacentral:ncRNA from 2 species